AGAGUUUGAUCCUGGCUCAGAAUCAACGCUGGCGGCGCGCUUAACACAUGCAAGUCGAACGAGAAAGGGGAGCAAUCCCUGAGUACAGUGGCGUACGGGUGAGUAACACGUGGAUGAUCUACCUCUUGGCGGGGAAUACCUCUGGGAAACCGGAGACAAUACCGCAUAAGCUCGGAAGAGGAAACCUGCAAAGGGCCGAGAGAGGAGUCCGCGGCCGAUUAGCUAGUUGGUAGGGUAAGAGCCUACCAAGGCGAAGAUCGGUAGCCGGCCUGAGAGGGCACACGGCCACACUGGCACUGAAACACGGGCCAGACUCCUACGGGAGGCAGCAGUGGGGAAUCUUGCACAAUGGGGGAAACCCUGAUGCAGCGACGCCGCGUGAGCGAUGAAGCCCUUCGGGGUGUAAAGCUCUUUCGACGGGAACGAUAAUGACGGUACCCGGAGAAGAAGCUGCGGCUAACUACGUGCCAGCAGCCGCGGUAAUACGUAGGCAGCAAGCGUUGUUCGGAGUUACUGGGCGUAAAGAGUGCGUAGGCGGUGCCCUAAGUCUGUUGUGAAAUCUCCCGGCUUAACUGGGAGGGUGCGGUGGAAACUGGGGUGCUUGAGUGUGGGAGAGGUAAGCGGAAUUCCUGGUGUAGCGGUGAAAUGCGUAGAUAUCAGGAGGAACACCGGUGGUGUAGACGGCUUACUGGACCACGACUGACGCUG
rnacentral:rRNA from 1 species